rnacentral:misc_RNA from 1 species
AAGACUAUAGACCUGCGGAGUACCUGCGGAAGGAUCAUUACUGAAGUGAUUUGGGGAUGUUGCUGGCCCUCUCUCAAGGGGGGCACUGUGCACUCCUCGAAACAAUUCACAAUUUCCAUCACACCCCUUGUGCACACCUUGUAGGCACCCAAACCCACCUCCGGGUUGGUGGGGUCCUAUGUAUUCCUUCAUCUCACACUCUGUUGAAUGGUGCCAUAGGACGCAUCUAAGGGAUUAUUU